AGAGUUUGAUCCUGGCUCAGGACGAACGCUGGCGGCGUGCUUAACACAUGCAAGUCGAACGGAAAGGCCCUUCGGGGUACUCGAGUGGCGAACGGGUGAGUAACACGUGGGUGAUCUGCCCUGCACUUUGGGAUAAGCCUGGGAAACUGGGUCUAAUACCGAAUACACCCCAUUGACUGCAUGGUUGGUGGGGGAAAGCUUUUGCGGUGUGGGAUGGGCCCGCGGCCUAUCAGCCUGUUGGUGAGGUUACGGCUCACCAAGGCGACGACGGGUAGCCGGCCUGAGAGGGUGACCGGCCACACUGGGACUGAGAUACGGCCCAGACUCCUACGGGAGGCAGCAGUGGGGAAUAUUGCACAAUGGGCGCAAGCCUGAUGCAGCGACGCCGCGUGGGGGAUGACGGCCUUCGGGUUGUAAACUCCUUUCAGCACAGACGAAGCGCAAGUGACGGUAUGUGCAGAAGAAGGACCGGCCAACUACGUGCCAGCAGCCGCGGUAAUACGUAGGGUCCGAGCGUUGUCCGGAAUUACUGGGCGUAAAGAGCUCGUAGGUGGUUUGUCGCGUUGUUCGUGAAAACUCACAGCUUAACUGUGGGCGUGCGGGCGAUACGGGCAGACUUGAGUACUGCAGGGGAGACUGGAAUUCCUGGUGUAGCGGUGGAAUGCGCAGAUAUCAGGAGGAACACCGGUGGCGAAGGCGGGUCUCUGGGCAGUAACUGACGCUGAGGAGCGAAAGCGUGGGGAGCGAACAGGAUUAGAUACCCUGGUAGUCC
rnacentral:rRNA from 1 species